ACUUUGCAAGACUAAAAUGGGAGCAGAAAACAUUCUGAUAAUAAAUCUUCAUCUCCAAAGGAGGAAUGGUGGAGCCAUUAGUGCUGCAGUGCUUGCAUAAAUACUGAAUAGAAAUUGCAUGUGCUCAUGCUUAUGAUCCUGCGCAGCCAGAUUAAGCUAGGUAUGCCAGGGCUGUACCUCCCAAGCAAGGGCAACUUGCUGGAAACACUGCUCUCUGGAAUGAGGCUUCACCAAGAGGACAGACCUGGGGCCAGACAGGGUGAUUGCCCUCCUUACUGCCAGCACUCUUGAUGCAGCAUGGAC